AUGCGUUCAGUAGUGGAGAUAGGAGCUACGGUCCCGGCAUUUCUGGGGAAACUAUGGAAAUUGGUCAACGAUUCGGAAACGAAUCAUUUGAUAUCAUGGAGCCCUGGAGGUAAGACAUUUGUUAUAAAAAACCAGGCUGAUUUUGCGAGGGAACUCCUGCCUCUGUAUUACAAGCACAACAACAUGGCUAGCUUUAUCCGGCAAUUGAACAUGUAUGGUUUCCACAAAAUAACAUCAGUGGAGAAUGGAGGCUUAAGAUAUGAGAAAGACGAAAUUGAAUUUUCCCAUCCCUGUUUCAUGAGAGGUCAUGCUUACUUACUAGAGCAUAUCAAAAGGAAAAUUGCAAACCCAAAGUCCAUUGUGGCAAGCAAUGAGAGUGGUGAGAAAAUCGUACUAAAGCCAGAAUUGAUGAACAAAGUCUUAUCAGAUGUUAAGCAAAUGAAAGGUAAACAGGAGAGUCUGGAUGCAAAGUUCAGUGCCAUGAAGCAAGAGAAUGAAGCAUUAUGGAGAGAGGUGGCCAUCCUGAGACAGAAACAUAUCAAGCAGCAGCAGAUAGUAAACAAUCUUAUCCAAUUCCUUAUGUCCCUUGUGCAACCAACACGGCCCGGAAAUGCUAAUGGUAACAAUGUUGGAGUGAAGAGACCUUACCAGUUGAUGAUAAACAGUGCAGCUCACAAUGCAGAUGGAUACCCUGGAAAAUUAAAGAAUGUGAAGCUUGACAAGGAUUUGUUAGAAGAUUUGAACGAAGAUAAUCUGGAGGAAGGACCCACAAUUCAUGAGUUGGCUCAUGAUGACUUGCUGCACAAUGAAGCUUCUCAGGACUCUGUGAAUGCUGCCAAUUUUAUCAAUCAAAUAUCUCCUAGAUCGAAUUCUAGAACAGGACUCAGCCCAACCAAUAGUGCUUCUGCAGUGCAGUACCAUGUAACUAUGGAAGAUGGAGAAGAUGGUGACAAUGAUGCCAACAGGAAUGUUUAUGCUACCUACCAAACUAAUGGAUUAUUGGGGACAGCAGAUUCACAGCCAAUUGUGACGUCAUCGUCGCCGACCAGUGUGACGACACCGGCUUCUCCUGUGGAUAACCCGAUCAUGAUUACAAAGGUUGUUACCAUGCCGCCUGGACCAUCAAACCCCAAGUCGAUUAGCCGUGGUAACAUAACUAAGAAUACUGUAGUGGGUGGCAGAACUCUCCUAUCUCCAAAUAGUUUUAACGCCAUUAACCCAUCUGCUGACUUGAGGCUUCCUGCUGAAAUUUUCGCCAGUGACGAUUCUGUAAGCGAUGCCGGUAUUGGCACCACAGAUGAAGUGCAGAAGGUUCUACUAUCGGACUCACUACUGGCAACCACAACAGAUCCAAUCAUCUCUACGUCAAAAGACAAAAUGCUUGGUGGAAUCAAUAUCAAAGUCGAGAAAGUUGCAGAUAAUUACAAAACUAACAAAAAGUCUAAGAAAACUUCAAAUGUAGAUGCCACCGCUAACUAUGUAAACAUCGCGGACAUUAAGACUGAACUUCAAGAUGACUUAGACUGGAAUAAUAUGACUCUUGCUACAGUCAAUAAUAAUACCAAUGUGAAUAGGUACCCUUCAGUGAGUAGGAGGGAUAACGUCAGCAAAAAUCGAGAGGAAUACACUUCCCUAUUUGGAACAAACUCAGACAAGGGUGAUAUUGAUGAUCAUUUGGACUCGAUGCAGACUGACCUUGAUUCGCUGAGAGAGCUGUUGCGAACAGACUCUUAUACCUUCGACCCAAGCACACUCAUUGGGACUGCCGAUCCAAGACUAGGGACACCAACGAUGACGCUCCCAGUCCCUCCUUACCAACAACCAGCAAUUGAUUAUUUGUUUGGCGCUGACGAUCCGUUCUAUGGCCUGUCAUACAAUCCAGUGGAUGAAAGGCCAAAGCCGACCAAUAGUGCUAAGAAGCAGAAAGCUGAAAUUUCAAAUGUAAGCGGUGCCGGCACUCGUGUCCAGGGUCUCUAUUCAGACGAUGCUGAAGGGAAUCAGCUUAUCUCGUAUACAGGAAAUCUUCCAGACUUAGAUGAUAUAAGCAUACCGGAGUUGGAGGUUGACAAUUCUCAAGAGUGCGUGUCCCCGCUGCCCGAUGACGCUACCCUGAAUACACCCCAAGUGGAGGUCCGCUCGCCAGCCUAUCGGAUGAGGCCAUGAAAGAAGGCGAAGUCGAGUAGAUAUCACAAAAAGGAAACGUUCCAAGUGAAUGGCGUUACUCACGAUUAAGACUUCACUCAAUUAUACACGGCUAUUUAUUAAAAUACUAACAACCUGGCAACACUAUAAUAAUAUGUAUAUGUUACUAACAUCAUAAACAAUAUCUUUUGUUCCAUGAUUUUUUACAAAAUACUAUUAUUUUACCAAAAAGUUUUAAGUUUUUUUGUACUAUCUGACACUCUUUAGACGUGUCUUUGGUAGUACGGUCAAUCAACCAUUUUAGCAUCGGAUUCAUAGAUUUAGUAUAUGGGUACCUACAUACUAAAUCUAUGAUCGGACUGGUAUUUCCUUUGUUACCGCUUAGAGUUCGCUAAGUUCUAAGCGGCGAUCCGCUUAGAACUAACAAUUUAAAUAUUUUUAUUUUUGUAUGAAAGUAAGUUGUUUAUGAUGUUUUAGUCCUGUGAGGUUAUUAUUAUUAGUAUUUUAUAAAUAACCCUGUAUGUCUAUCUGUACGUUAUUAUUUUGAGUGGCAAUAUUUAACUUAUAGGUGUAUGUGUGUAUAUGACGUUAGCCUCUCAUUAUCGUGUAGUUGGCGUAUCGCAUAAGAAUAAUGUAUAUUGUAUAGUUUAAAAAUUUUGUGCAUAUUGUAUUUAAGUUAAGAAAUGUUAAAAUAAAUUGUUUAUUUAACGUUUGAUGAACAACAAAAUGUUUUUAGUGGUUUUGUUGGGGUCUGUUUAUUCAGAGAGCUAUUCUCACAUGAAUAUUCAUGUAAAUAUCGUUUACAAUUGAUACAUUUGUAAAUUCGGUGUGAAAAUAACACAAUACUACUUAAACCGAAUAUUUUCUGGAAAUUGAUUUCUGAACGAAACUUAGUCUAGUUUUCAAUUAAUAAUGGUACGUAUAACGUAGUCAUUUUUGCGUGUUCGUUCGCAAUUCCAUUUUUGGAGUCACCUCAAUAAAAAUUACAUAAUAAUGUAGUAAAACUAAGUAUAGUAAUUUAUUAACAUUGUAUUUGAAGUGAAUAGUCAGUGUAUUGAGGAAAGGUACUAAUAUAUAAAAAGUAGGUUUCAGAGUUGUACUUUAAAAAAACGACCACUUUUUACACUUAACGUACAUAUUAACUCAUCUAAGGUGCCUUACAGUAAUGUUCUGAAGAAAGAUUACACGUCUGUUUUUAAACAUUAUACAAUAUAAAGAAUUUGCUCAAAUAUUUUGUUAAUGCCAAUAAAAAUAAGUAGGAAAAUAAUAAUAGUCCAGUCGAAAUACAGUAUUGUAUAAAAAAAGGGAUGGCACCAGGGUUUUAGAUAAAUAUUCAUUAAACAUUUGCGUACCAUUUGUAUCGACAUCCAUGUUUCUGAGUCAAUAAUCUAAAGUUAAAUAUCGUUGAGAAAUUUGUCAGUUUUUAUGUAAAAAGUUGGCACAGUUUACAUAAUAAUUUAUUUAAGAUAUCUUAGUUAUUUAAUCAUUGAGAUUUUGUCCCAAUAUCCAAACGAAAUAUCAAAAACAAUAUUCCUAUGAAAUGUAAUGGUAUGGUACCAUGUUACAAUAUAAAAUAUGUUUUUCAGACUGUGUAUCCAUUACUACUAACUACCAUGUUCCUUCAUCAAUGCGUUCCCAAAUUUGUCAUUUUUUUAAUACAAGUUUAUAAUAUUUCCAGAAUAUUAUAAUAAUGCAAAAUAGUAAAACAGAAUAAUACUAAUUAUUUUGAGAGCUUACUCGAUAAUUUCACUUUAAUUUCUCGGAGUUGUCAACAAUUUCUUAGGCUCAAUUUACGUUGUUUAUUUUGUAACGAUAUUGUACAUGGCAAAAUGAAUAUUAUCUCAAUUACGUACGAACUAGAUAACGAGCCAAAAAAACAAGUCGCGCAUCUUCUGGCGACUGCACUGCAACUGUUAUGGACAGGCGUGUCGCUUACCACCAGGCGCACGACUUGUGUUGGUCCCGUUACUUGGUAUAUAAUUUUACAUGCUCUAUUAAAAAAAGAUGGUACAAUAGAUAGGAUGUUAUUAUUUUAACCUAUUUCUACAUUUGCCGAUCGUAAUGUACAAUAAUCCACGGAGUUAAAAUUGUUGCAUCAGUUGAAAACAAAACAUAGACUCUAAAUUAUUGUGAAUAGUAUGGGUAAUAACGCCUGUUCGGGGAGUUUCAUAUGAGACGAAAGUAUCUUCAGAUGCAUUAGGUCAUCGUAAUUAAAGAAAAACGGAAUAUAAAGUAUUUGUAAUUAAACUUGGCGAACUUGCGCGCAAAAAGACUUGCCUUUGCCUAUUGUUCUGAACAAUGUGUAAAUAUUUGACCUUUUAUAUAUACUUACAUGUUGAUUGUUGUGUAGUGUAAAUAUAUUUUAUUUAUGUUUAAGAUUAUUUUAACAUAAGUUGUUUCGGUUUAAGAUGUAUAUUAAUCUCAUCAUUUCAUCGUUACUUUGUGUCAACUGUGUUAUAACGAGAUACAGGUUCUUACUGAGGUAGGGACAAAUAAAUUUUACUUGUGUUUAAAACGUAAUAAACGUAGGUAUCUCAUUACUAAGUGCGCAGUCACACGAGCAGCAUCGGAGUAUUCGGUUCGCAUGCCAGCUGUGCCAGCAAUCGGCUAUAUCGUGCAGUCCUUUGCUUACAGUCGAUUGCUUUCAAACUACUUUCCGACUACAUAACAUGAACUGCGGUUCUGGAGUUGCCAUGCCGAUGGAAUGCAACUCGUGUGACUACCCUUAUGUAUUUACUUUUUCAAAUUUAACGACACUUGCGCAUUCAUGCAUCUCAUACGUUUUGUACAAAAAAUGUAAGUCAUUGACUUGAAUGCAUUUACAACUAGAUUGCAUAUUUAUAUUAAGUCAAAGUCAUGUGGCAAGACAGUUCUGGCCAUAGUAUAAUAAGACAAGUACUUAUAGUAACUCCAUACAAACAUAACAGCGCGGCUUGUAUGUGUGCGCGCCCAACACGUGCCGUGUACGGACGCACACAUUUGCAUAAUCUCGCGUCGCAUAGCGCUGGUUGUUCCACGCGCCUUUCAUUAUUAAAUACAAGGCGCGCUGCUACGUUUUGGAGUUGCAUACUUGUUUUAUUAUAUUAUGUACUGGCAAUUUAAAAAAGCACAGUUAGGGCAAAGUACACAUGGAUAAGAACGUUUUACUAUUCGCUACGUAAAACUUUGUUACAAAAUAAGGAAGUAUUAAUGUGCAUUUUAAGAUAUCUAUGACUGUUUUUCAGCGUACCUUUUCGACAGUUGCUAGAACUGGCGUCUGUUUUCCGUUCAUUAUCAUCACAUACAAUAUAUCUAAUUAAUUUUUUAUUUACAUCACACUCGCUCUUAGGCAAAUUAGACCAGUUUAAACGUCCAAAUAAAAUACAGAGUAUUUCUUAUGAAUAAAUAUUGAAAUUUCAUCUUAAACGUAGGAUAUUAUAAAAUUUUAAUAUAUGAAUGUUUUGUAUUGACAGAUUUUAGUUGUCAUGUGCGAUUAUUAUUUAAUUCACUCUCAACUCAGUCUCAGUCUUUCAUUUUUAGAGAGAAAUUGUAAAUCUAUUACCUCAAACACAACACAUUGUUUAAUACUAACGUUAUAUAGCAUGAAAAAUACCGAGUUUUAUGUAAUGACAAUAACGCACCACCACUGGUCUGAAACUAGGGGAUUCCCUUCAUUUCUCAAAUUGGUCAUACUGGAAAUCGAAACCGGAACCUCCGCAUCGUUAGUACGACGGCGGACGGCAUGUGACAAGUGUUUGAUAUGUGUCACAGUGAACAUUGCUCAGGUUUUCAUUUAUAAUUUUAAAUACUAAACGUUAUAUGGCACUGAGUUGGUGGCUACUUUAAAACACUGGAAACACGCGUACUAUAAACAUAUUUGUGGAAAGUAUCUAUGGAUUAUUACUACGUUAGACUACAGUCGAUAGACUACUACUACAUUUAUACAUUUCACCAAAGGUUAGGUCAACUCGAGUGCUAGGAGGGUCAUUUUCCGGUUAGUUUUCUUUACGUAAUUUAGGUGGCCAUUUUUAGUAUUUAAAUAUUCUAGAAGAUUAUCAAGAAGUAUUACUUAACAUUCGAGUGUAGUAUCGUGAAAUAUUAUUUAAUAUUUCACGGUAAUAUACUCGAAUACUUAAAUAAUAAAAAUUGCCACCGAAAUUAGGUGAAAGAAAACAAAACUUACAAUUACUCAUAGCAUUCACUUCCGCUAUUGUGUUAGCCUUAUCUUGUUCAACAUAAGGUUGACAAUGGGUUAAGUAAGUAGACAAGUUAUAGUCAUUCGUCUACUAGCUAUGUAUAUUUGCGUGUUUCUAACUGUACGGGAGAUCUAUCAUUUGUAAACCAUAAUUGUAUCUAUCUACUCAUGUAAUUUACAAUGUCGUUUCGUUUUAUAUAUUAAUACGUGUUACCUGUUUUAUUAUGGUACGUAGGUACGGUAUACAUUUUAUGUUGCAGGUAUUAUACCAUAGUCUGAUUUUCGCAGUUCAAU